rnacentral:rRNA from 1 species
GCAAACAAAGAAAAGACAAAAUAGUCAAAACUUUCAACAACGGAUCUCUUGGUUCUGGCAUCGAUGAAGAACGCAGCAAAACGCGAUAAGUAAUGUGAAUUGCAGAAUUUAGUGAAUCAUCAAAUCUUUGAACGCACAUUGCGCCUGCCA